rnacentral:rRNA from 1 species
UUAAGCGACUAAGCGUACACGGUGGAUGCCCUGGCAGUCAGAGGCGAUGAAGGACGUGCUAAUCUGCGAUAAGCGUCGGUAAGGUGAUAUGAACCGUUAUAACCGGCGAUUUCCGAAUGGGGAAACCCAGUGUGUUUCGACACACUAUCAUUAACUGAAUCCAUAGGUUAAUGAGGCGAACCGGGGGAACUGAAACAUCUAAGUACCCCGAGGAAAAGAAAUCAACCGAGAUUCCCCCAGUAGCGGCGAGCGAACGGGGAGCAGCCCAGAGCCUGAAUCAGUGUGUGUGUUAGUGGAAGCGUCUGGAAAGGCGCGCGAUACAGGGUGACAGCCCCGUACACAAAAAUGCACAUAUUGUGAGCUCGAUGAGUAGGGCGGGACACGUGGUAUCCUGUCUGAAUAUGGGGGGACCAUCCUCCAAGGCUAAAUACUCCUGACUGACCGAUAGUGAACCAGUACCGUGAGGGAAAGGCGAAAAGAACCCCGGCGAGGGGAGUGAAAAAGAACCUGAAACCGUGUACGUACAAGCAGUGGGAGCACGCUUAGGCGUGUGACUGCGUACCUUUUGUAUAAUGGGUCAGCGACUUAUAUUCUGUAGCAAGGUUAACCGAAUAGGGGAGCCGAAGGGAAACCGAGUCUUAACUGGGCGUUAAGUUGCAGGGUAUAGACCCGAAACCCGGUGAUCUAGCCAUGGGCAGGUUGAAGGUUGGGUAACACUAACUGGAGGACCGAACCGACUAAUGUUGAAAAAUUAGCGGAUGACUUGUGGCUGGGGGUGAAAGGCCAAUCAAACCGGGAGAUAGCUGGUUCUCCCCGAAAGCUAUUUAGGUAGCGCCUCGUGAAUUCAUCUCCGGGGGUAGAGCACUGUUUCGGCAAGGGGGUCAUCCCGACUUACCAACCCGAUGCAAACUGCGAAUACCGGAGAAUGUUAUCACGGGAGACACACGGCGGGUGCUAACGUCCGUCGUGAAGAGGGAAACAACCCAGACCGCCAGCUAAGGUCCCAAAGUCAUGGUUAAGUGGGAAACGAUGUGGGAAGGCCCAGACAGCCAGGAUGUUGGCUUAGAAGCAGCCAUCAUUUAAAGAAAGCGUAAUAGCUCACUGGUCGAGUCGGCCUGCGCGGAAGAUGUAACGGGGCUAAACCAUGCACCGAAGCUGCGGCAGCGACGCUUAUGCGUUGUUGGGUAGGGGAGCGUUCUGUAAGCCUGCGAAGGUGUGCUGUGAGGCAUGCUGGAGGUAUCAGAAGUGCGAAUGCUGACAUAAGUAACGAUAAAGCGGGUGAAAAGCCCGCUCGCCGGAAGACCAAGGGUUCCUGUCCAACGUUAAUCGGGGCAGGGUGAGUCGACCCCUAAGGCGAGGCCGAAAGGCGUAGUCGAUGGGAAACAGGUUAAUAUUCCUGUACUUGGUGUUACUGCGAAGGGGGGACGGAGAAGGCUAUGUUGGCCGGGCGACGGUUGUCCCGGUUUAAGCGUGUAGGCUGGUUUUCCAGGCAAAUCCGGAAAAUCAAGGCUGAGGCGUGAUGACGAGGCACUACGGUGCUGAAGCAACAAAUGCCCUGCUUCCAGGAAAAGCCUCUAAGCAUCAGGUAACAUCAAAUCGUACCCCAAACCGACACAGGUGGUCAGGUAGAGAAUACCAAGGCGCUUGAGAGAACUCGGGUGAAGGAACUAGGCAAAAUGGUGCCGUAACUUCGGGAGAAGGCACGCUGAUAUGUAGGUGAAGUCCCUUGCGGAUGGAGCUGAAAUCAGUCGAAGAUACCAGCUGGCUGCAACUGUUUAUUAAAAACACAGCACUGUGCAAACACGAAAGUGGACGUAUACGGUGUGACGCCUGCCCGGUGCCGGAAGGUUAAUUGAUGGGGUCAGCGCAAGCGAAGCUCUUGAUCGAAGCCCCGGUAAACGGCGGCCGUAACUAUAACGGUCCUAAGGUAGCGAAAUUCCUUGUCGGGUAAGUUCCGACCUGCACGAAUGGCGUAAUGAUGGCCAGGCUGUCUCCACCCGAGACUCAGUGAAAUUGAACUCGCUGUGAAGAUGCAGUGUACCCGCGGCAAGACGGAAAGACCCCGUGAACCUUUACUAUAGCUUGACACUGAACAUUGAGCCUUGAUGUGUAGGAUAGGUGGGAGGCUUUGAAGUGUGGACGCCAGUCUGCAUGGAGCCGACCUUGAAAUACCACCCUUUAAUGUUUGAUGUUCUAACGUUGACCCGUAAUCCGGGUUGCGGACAGUGUCUGGUGGGUAGUUUGACUGGGGCGGUCUCCUCCUAAAGAGUAACGGAGGAGCACGAAGGUUGGCUAAUCCUGGUCGGACAUCAGGAGGUUAGUGCAAUGGCAUAAGCCAGCUUGACUGCGAGCGUGACGGCGCGAGCAGGUGCGAAAGCAGGUCAUAGUGAUCCGGUGGUUCUGAAUGGAAGGGCCAUCGCUCAACGGAUAAAAGGUACUCCGGGGAUAACAGGCUGAUACCGCCCAAGAGUUCAUAUCGACGGCGGUGUUUGGCACCUCGAUGUCGGCUCAUCACAUCCUGGGGCUGAAGUAGGUCCCAAGGGUAUGGCUGUUCGCCAUUUAAAGUGGUACGCGAGCUGGGUUUAGAACGUCGUGAGACAGUUCGGUCCCUAUCUGCCGUGGGCGCUGGAGAACUGAGGGGGGCUGCUCCUAGUACGAGAGGACCGGAGUGGACGCAUCACUGGUGUUCGGGUUGUCAUGCCAAUGGCACUGCCCGGUAGCUAAAUGCGGAAGAGAUAAGUGCUGAAAGCAUCUAAGCACGAAACUUGCCCCGAGAUGAGUUCUCCCUGACCCUUUAAGGGUCCUGAAGGAACGUUGAAGACGACGACGUUGAUAGGCCGGGUGUGUAAGCGCAGCGAUGCGUUGAGCUAACCGGUACUAAUGAACCGUGAGGCUUAACCU